UUUCUUUAUUCCUUCUUCUCUUUGUAUGACUCCUGAAUCUUUUGUUCCCCAAAAAACUGCUUCGUUCUCUGAUAACUCAAUUUUUAUACUCAUCCCCGGAAAAUUUUAACUAGGAUAUGAAUAUCUAUUGGAAAAGUACAAAUAGAGAGAUUGAGAUAUUGAAAGUUUUAAGCUAAAGCGUAAAGUCAAGAAGCCGGGUCAUGUCUAAAAGCAGAACCAUUGUAUCUUCAUUAAGGAUAUUUUUCCUAAUUAAAGCUGCUGAGGUAAAGCUUCCUUUUAUUGAGAUUUACAGGUAUUAGAACACCAUGUCACAACGAACCGGCAUCAAUUAUGAAGCUACGAUGAUCAUAUAACACCAGCUUUAUCUGAUUAAACAUGCAAAAUGCAAGUUGUAGAUAAAAAUCAAGAGCGAGAAAAUCUUCACAAUAAAAAGAAGACUUCAGAAUUUUAUCUUGCAAGAUGAAGAGGUAAUUUGAUUUAUCUUCUAUCUAAUUGUAACGACAUGACCAGUCGAUUUGAGCAUUUGCACUUCGCUCGGUAGUUUCGGGGCACGAGUAGCUCUGUAUGAUGUAUUAGGACUU